AAGGCAAGGAGGAGGAGGGGAGGAACGACUGCCUCAGCAAGGAGACACUGCGUGAGAGAGAGAGGUGAAAAUGAGAGCUAACAUCAGCUCCCCCGGGGUCCGCUGUAAUCAGCAGACAAAUGGUCUGUACUCAUGGCAUGUAUUCAUUCUGCAGCCACGGGCUGCCAACAAGAGCCUUCCUGCCUCUGCUUGGAAAUAAGGGCCAAGGAAACCUCUGGACCAGAGGGAGAUACGCAGAGCACAACGCGGGCUGUAUGGGUUAUGCUGAUCCUAGUGCUCAUGGAAGAGGCAGGGGAAUCAUCACAGUGGCUUUAGGGAGAUGUGCACUGCAGAGUGCAGAGGCUGGUUGGAUCAAAGGGCUUUGGCUGCACAGCUCUGGAACUGCAGACCCAUGUCUUCUAUGUCUGUAAGGCAAACAUACAAAGAAGCUACAUUGAUUCACUGGCUGUUCUGUCCAUACAGCUCCUUCCUGAUACAGGACUGACUUGUUGAUAUGUAUUAAUCUAGCUCUUAUCCUAUUAUAUCUGUUACUGGUAUUAAUUUGUUGGAAAUUAAACAUAUAAGCAACAUCUGUUGUCAAAAGAUUUAAAAAACCCGGAUUAGAAUAAUUUAUUUAGGAUUAAUUCGUUGCCUGCAACCUAAUAUGGGGAUUUUAAUUACUUUAUAAUU